UGGGACGCUGCCUCAGCAUGGCCUGAUGAGCGGUGCCAUGUCCGCACCCAGGAUCCGAACCUGCGAAAUGCUGGGCCGCCAAAGCGGAGCAGGAGUUCCUUAAAGGGAUCUAAGAAAAAAGCUUAAGUCAAACAAAUGACUUACCAGGGGUAGGACACUUUGGCGAUAUAGCUUCUUGUAGAUGGAGAUCAUUGAGACCUCCGUGACUGGCGUUCACCUGGGGCUACAGGAAGAACUUUCUCACGCAAAGAUGAAAGUCUUGGCAGCUUGGCACAUUGGCUAGAUUUGAGCAGGAAGUUGGGUGUAAUAAGUAAAAGAACUCUGUGUACACUUGGAAACUGGCUAUGAUUCCAAGAUUGGGAGAACCGUAGAGACCGAUGGAGACCAGCAGGUGGAGAGCAGGAUGAAGUUAACACAUCUGCCUUGAAGAACUUUGCUAUCACCUCACAGUGUGUUUAUUUAAAAACAAACAGAAAUGAAGACCGGCCUCAAACUCCAACUGGCUGUGGAGACAAAGUCAUUACAAACCCCUAGUCGAGUCUUGUUCAUAGGAGAUGCUCCCAAAGACUCCCAAGAUAGCCAUCUCAGACCCACUUAAAAUCUGCUGGCGACUCUGGUCAUUUUGAAGCGUGUGUUUUGAAAGUGUGAGCUUUCCGACGGCUGCGCUCUGGGAACAACAGACGAGGAGGCACACGUUUCCUCAUCUGUGAAAUGGAGAUAAAGAUGCAUCCUUUAAGAUACUGUGAAGAUUCAAUGACUUGAAAAUAUCAGCUAUUGCUGCCUUUAUUGUUCCCCAUCCCCACACAGCUAACCUCUACCGUCCUUGCCUUUCCACUGGCCUGUGUUGCUGAAGACCCAGGGCAUUGGGCUAGAAUUUAGUUAGUCUGGAACCGGCCUGUAUAAGAGCUCACAGAAGCUGCAUCCUCAUCCUUCUCUCCACUUGGAACCGAUGUGCCCAGGAAUUCUAAAUUGCCAACGUUAGGGGAUCAGAUGGUACAAAUUAAACAGCCACCAAUAACCCCCAGCUUCGACAUUCAGAUUGUGCCAAACCUUUGCAAUUAUAAACACAAAGAGCAGCGACAAUUAGCAGAAUAAGAAUCAGAAAAUUUAAAAGGCUGAGAAACUGAAUAUAUGAACAGACAGUGGCCAGACCUUGUAUGACAAUAGGACUCUGACCCACAACCUCUGGAGAAAUAUGCUCAGGACUCAGUUGAUGACUGCCAACUUUCCAUUCUGUGCGCCCCCUUCCAACUCAGGACCAGCCAGAGAAAGCCAAAUAUGCUCCCCAACCAACCACAUAAGAUGCCCUUCUUCUAGUUAGCCCGACUCCAGCUGCCCCAUGCCAACAGCCUCCCGUUAAAGCAUCCUUUGUUCCCACUGUAAAGAUUCCCCAACACCAUGCCUGCCUUUGGUUCUCUACCAAAUGCGAAUGAUGGUGAGCAACUCCUUGCCAUAGAAGGCUCUGAAUAAAGCGCCUC
rnacentral:lncRNA from 1 species